AGGCGCUUGGGAUUUUGUGACCGUUUGGUGUUUUCGCUCCCACCUCUCCGCGCACGAAGUUUCCGCAGGAGCGGGAUCAGCGGUGCCGAGUCACGGUGGGCAUCGGGGCCCGGCCCGAGGUGCGGGACUGGCUCCGGGAGCCGGGACCGGGACAGCUCUCAAGUUCGGGGACGGGGCUGCGUGGAUUGCUGCCUCUCCCGGCCGAGGGAAUGAUCCCCCUCCGGCGGGGUCCCCGAUGGCCCCGGGGCCGGGACUCUGCGCUGGCGGCGAGUACCGGCCAGAAAAAGGGGUUCUGUUAAAGAUAGCGGUGAGCAGUGGUCGCCUGCGCCUGAUGGGCGAGCUGAGGGCUGGGUCUUUGCGGGCGAGAUGAGAGGUUCGUGUCUUCAACUGGCCUACAAAGUCCCAGUUCUCGGCUCCCGGGACCUGCCGGGCGCGCAGCGGGCGAAGACGGAGCGCGGCGGCGCCGCUGGCGCUGCCCGGGGCCGCUCGGGCGCGACGCGGGGUCCGGCCCGGGCCGGUCGGGUCCGGGGCACGGCGGGCGCUGCUCAGGGACCGCGGCUCGCCCGGCGCCGGGGCCGGCGGGUGCCCGGCUCGCCGCGGGGAGAGGACGGAGCUGGCUCUCCGCGAACCGUAAGUGCAUUUUGUAUUCUUCUGCCUCGGAAAGGGCUUUAAACGUGCGCGUCCCACCGGUGCUGGCGGCCGUCCCCGCGGCUUCGCGGCGGUCCGGACCAGCUGUGCCCGGCCCUGCCUUGGCGCGGAGCGAGCGCUCGGUUUCGCUCCCGCAGGACCAUGUGCAUCCUUCCCUCCGCUUUCACUUUCUAAAAACACAUUUUUUUUUUUUUUUUUUUUUUUUUUUUUUUUUUUUUUUUUUUUUUUUUUUUUUUUUUAGUAAAUCUAGUCACAUCCAUCCGGAGCAGCCGGGCUAUUUCUCUAGCCGGAAAUUCUCUUACUCACCUAAGCGUUAUUACCACCCAGCAUUCCGGAGUUCCUUAUUAUUUGUCGGAUUUCGAUUCGGCACACUGCACGUCUGCAGGCGCUGGUUUGUGCUCCUUCUUUGGGCACGGUGUAUAUACAACUCCGGGAGCAUUUCAACUGCUUUUCUUAAAGCUGAAUUCUUUAUAAAGGAGAAGUGACUAGAAACCCUGAGCUGGGUCCCAGGUCUUGCCUUAACUUUGUAAGGCACACUGACACACUGAGGCUGCUCCACUUAAGGUAUGGUAUGAACCAGGAGCUGAUCCCGUGGCUGUGGAAUGAGUGUUCACAUGGAGUCAUCCUGCUGUAGCUAUUGCAGCUGCUGUGUAAGCAAGUCCUAACGGACAGUCCUUGUUCCAGUGACUGUGUGACAGAUAAGACAGACAAUGGGCACAAGGAAGGCACCGCUAUCAAUGAAGGACGGAUACUGUUCAACCUGAAGGGAACAAAGAAACCUGGGCUGCUCAAGACCCCACAGAACUGUCCAGGAGUGUCCUUUGUGCCAGCUGAUUCCAGGAAUGUGACACUUUUCGAACUGUUUGUGUCAGGACUUCCUGCUUUGACACCUUUCAUUUCUGAGACUGCCUCAUCAGUCAAACCCCAGAUCUGCUGCUCCUCUCCACAAGGACUUCUGUAUGCAGCAACUCUCUGUCCUCUUUGGAUACUGAAAUGAGAUGAAAGGGCUUGAAUGUUUCUUAGCAAGAUGGAUGGAUGGAAUUAGCUUAAUCUGUUCUGAUUUUGACACCUACAAGUCAACUGACCCAAUCACCUCUUCUUCUAACAGGCUGCAAAGCAACACUCUACUAAUGUGGAAUAUUCUUUGUGAUGGAAACAGAAGCAUCAGGAAUGGGGGUUUGUAGCUUUUUUGGAAGAGUUUCUGUUACAAUUUUUAUCUUUAAUAUCAACACUUUAAAUAAGGAUAUUUAUAUGUUAAAAUAAAAACAUUUUUUGCCCUGAAAUACUGGAAUACGCCUCCCCAGCCUCUUCCUACCUCAGCUCUGCCACUGUGAAGAGAACCCAUCCAUGGAUUUUAAAGUCAGGACAAGUCAGAACUUCUAACAGAGGAUGAGCACAGAACAACUGCAGUUCAUCCUGCAGCCCAGACCCCAAUGAAUGGAUCUUUUUCUUAUGUGCUGUGGGAACUGCCUAUAGAAAUAUCUAAGAAACUGAUCCAGGGUUUUAUAACCUUGUGUCUUGUCCCUUGUGGCAAGCUGCAAGUUGCCUUCUUAUCCUGGCCUCCAUGGACAAAGCCCUCCAUGUGUGUGAAAUAGGAGAGCACCGUGGUUUGGUGGUGGUUUUGUCAGAUCUGUUCCCAAACAGCUCUCCCAGCUGCCACACUGCCUGUCAGAGGAGGGUUGGUGCAGCAGAGGUCUGUAGGGUCACUUGGGUUCACAUGCAGGAUCCCUUGUGCACAUCCUGCAGUGGGAUCCAGCCCUGCUGAUGCCUCUUUAACACUUGAGGACAUUGUCAGCAAACCAAAGUGCAUUUCUUAGUGCCCACACCAAGCCACUUCAAGAACAAAUCUGACUAGACUGAAUUAUUUUUAUUUUUAAAGUUCAGUGCCACUUAACACCGCCAAUUUAGCUUAAAAAAAAAAAAAAAAAGCAGAAAUACCUAAAAUAAAAGUGUUUUGAAAAGUA